rnacentral:rRNA from 1 species
GUGAACGCUGGCGGUAGGCCUAACACAUGCAAGUCGAACGGCAGCACAGUAAGAGCUUGCUCUUACGGGUGGCGAGUGGCCGACGGGUGAGGAAUACAUCGGAAUCUACUUUUUCGUGGGGGAUAACGUAGGGAAACUUACGCUAAUACCGCAUACGACCUACGGGUGAAAGCAGGGGAUCUUCGGACCUUGCGCGAUUGAAUGAGCCGAUGUCGGAUUAGCUAGUUGGCGGGGUAAAGGCCCACCAAGGCGACGAUCCGUAGCUGGUCUGAGAGGAUGAUCAGCCACACUGGAACUGAGACACGGUCCAGACUCCUACGGGAGGCAGCAGUGGGGAAUAUUGGACAAUGGGCGCAAGCCUGAUCCAGCCAUACCGCGUGGGUGAAGAAGGCCUUCGGGUUGUAAAGCCCUUUUGUUGGGAAAGAAAAGCAGCAGGUUAAUACCCCGCUGUUCUGACGGUACCCAAAGAAUAAGCACCGGCUAACUUCGUG